UAAAAGAUAAGCUAAUUAAGCUACCGGGCUCAUACCCCGCCAAUGAGAACCAGAUUUCUCUCUUUUAA
rnacentral:tRNA from 1 species